CUUCAACUUCCUUUGAAUUCAACCGAGAAUUCUUCAUUGCCUUUUUUCCAAGAGGAGGAAGUCCUCUGCUGAACUAUUGACCUGAUUUGAUAAUUCUCUAUGAUGCUGCUGAGUUGCUUCAUUUUUCAUUUCCUGGAGACUAUGGGAAGAUGCGGGGGAAAAUGGAAGAAUAUGUGCAAGAAAACGGUUUCAGUAACAAUCCUGCAUGCUGAAGACCUACAUGGAUUCAUGGGAGGAUGCCCUUUGCUAACUUGGAUUCUAUACAGUCCCUUGGAAAUUCUGG
rnacentral:lncRNA from 1 species